ACAGGCGACGGAACAGUAGGGACAGGUGUUGCGCGUUUCGGUGGUCGUCGU
rnacentral:sRNA from 1 species